UACACACUCAUAUGGACACACUCACAUUCAUUUACACACACAUACACACAAACACUCACAUUCAUUUACACACACACUCACAUUCAUUUAUACACACACAUAUACACUCAUAUGGACACAAUAACAUUCAUAGACACACUCAUAUUCACAUACACACACACUCACAUUCAUUUAUACACACAUACACACUCAUAUGGACACACUGACAUUCAUUUACAUACACAUACAAACACUCAC